rnacentral:rRNA from 1 species
UGAUGCAGCAACGCCGCGUGGGUGACGAAGGCCUUCGGGUCGUAAAGCCCUUUUCUAGGGGAUGAGGAAGGACAGUACCCUAGGAAUAAGUCUCGGCUAACUACGUGCCAGCAGCCGCGGUAAGACGUAGGAGGCGAGCGUUAUCCGGAUUCAUUGGGCGUAAAGGGCAAGUAGGCGGUAGCCCAAGUUGGGCGUGACAGUUCUCGGCUUAACUGAGAGAGGACGUUCAAAACUAGGUUACUAGAGGGCAGAAGAGGGAGGCGGAAUUCCUAAAGUAGCGGUGGAAUGCUCAGAUAUUAGGAAGAACACCAGUGGCGAAGGCGGCCUCCUGGUCUGGCCCUGACGCUGAGAGGCGAAAGCUAGGGGAGCGAACGGGCUUAGAUACCCCGGUAGUCCUAGCUGUAAACGGUGGAUACUAAGUAUUAGGGGGUAAGACCCUUAGUGCUGAAGCAAACGCGAUAAGUAUCCCGCCUGGGGACUACGGCCGCAAGGUUAAAACUCAAAGGAAUUGACGGGGACCCGCACAAGCAGCGGAGCGUGUGGUUUAAUUCGAUGCAACACGAAGAACCUUACCUGGGCUUGACAUGUACGUAGUAGCGACUCGAAAGGGGAGCGACUCUUCGGAGAGCGUACACAGGUGCUGCAUGGCUGUCGUCAGCUCGUGCCGUGAGGUGUUAGGUUAAGUCCUACAACGAGCGCAACCCUUAUUGCUAGUUGUAUUUUUCUAGCGAGACUGCCGGCAUAUAACCGGAGGAAGGUGGGGAUGACGUCAAGUCAGCAUGGCCUUUAUGUCCAGGGCUACACACACGCUACAAUGGUCGGUACAAAGGGCAGCGAAGCCGCGAGGCGGAGCCAAUCCUA